UGCCAGCAGCCGCGGUAAUACGAAGGGAGCUAGUGUUAUUGGGAAUGACUGGGCGUAAAGGGUACGUAGGCUGUUUAUUAAGUUUUAAGUGAAAUCCCAGAGCUUAACUUUGGAAUGGCUUAAAAAACUGAUAAACUAGAGUUUAAUAGAGGAUAGUGGAAUUUCUAGUGUAGAGAUGAAAUUCGUAAAUAUUAGAAGGAACACCGGAGGCGAAGGCGACUAUCUGGAUUAAAACUGACGCUGAGGUACUAAAGCAUGGGGAGCAAAAAGGAUUAGAUA
rnacentral:rRNA from 1 species